GUUCAUAGAGCUCCAGAUGGAAUGCCAUGCUCCAAGGAAUUCUUGUGCGUGUCUCUGUUUGGCUUGUCCUAGGAUGGAUGUAUUUUCCCAGUCAAAGUGAUGUCCUUCCUCAUCUACAUGUUUGCCAAUCUAAAAUAUCCUAUACUCUGGUCAGCUCCAGGAUGUAUUCUUCUAUGAAACUAUCCUAAAUACAGUCUGUUAACACAUCCACACCAGAGAAGGUCUGUGCAUGAAAGACUGCUGAUUACAAAACUGCACAAUCAAAGAAGAGCUGAAAGGUUUCAACACCCAACUGCAAUAGCAGUGCAAAAACACCCUCAAGUUCUUAAAGUUUGGAAAUAAGUAGAAAAAAGAGGAAUAUAUCAUCAUGAUUACUGCAAAGUAUUGAUCCACUUCUUCAAAAAGACCCAUGCAAUAUCUGACAAGAAUGAACAAAAAUCUCUUCUGAGAUUGCUGUUUGCACUGGAAGAUUUGCAGUCAGGAAUGCUGAAGCUUCAAGUGAAGUUACUGCAAAAUACCUUGGACAAAAAUACAAAAUGGGUGGAUCUUCAGCACUGAUUACCAGCACAUCCAAUGGUAUCUUUGGACACUAGGCAAAGACAUAAGAAAUCAGUCAGGAGAAAAUCUCAAGAGCUGCAAGUCUCUUACCCUCUCAGUUGAAGGUUUUCAUAACCUGAAAGCAUUUCUAAAUUUCAAUAUUUCUGACAACCUAAGAAAACUUGAAAAACUGAACUGUGGCCACUUUCCAAAGACUUGGUUCCAACAUGAUUUCAGCUGAAGAUCCUCCAUCAGUCUACUAUUGUCAGUGGUUUGAUGUCAUGGACAGAAAAUAGUAGACUGUGAAAAGUAAAUAGAUUCUAUCCAUUUUUUUCAAACUCUUACCUGACCUUUUUUCCUUUUGUCUUUUUAAUUCCC